GGGGUUGUGGCUCAAUGGUAGAGUGCUCGCCUAGCAUGUGAGAGACGCUGGGUUCAAUCCUCAGCACCA
rnacentral:tRNA from 1 species